rnacentral:ncRNA from 1 species
GGUAGUCGCAAAUAUUCAAAUUAGAGAUUUGAAGGCUCAAGUGAAGAAGGGUUCCAUAUGAAUAGCAGUGGAACAUGGGUCUGUCGAUCCAAAGAGAUAGGCGAGUGCUGUUCUGAAGGGACAGGCAAUGACCUCCAUCAUCCUCACCCAAUUGAAAGGGAGUUGGGUUCAGAUCCCCGAAUCUGGAAGGUGCGAUCCGAUGUCUGCCGCCAAGUGCCCGUCUCACCCACCCCAUCGGGGAGGUGAAGCAUGAGAGCGUGUGAUAGGACCCAAAAGAUGGUGAACUAUGCAAAGCCAGAGGAAACUCUGGUGGAGGUUCAUAGCAGUCCUCAUUUGCAAAUCAAUCAUUCUAUCU